rnacentral:rRNA from 1 species
UGGGGAAUAUUGGACAAUGGGCGCAAGCCUGAUCCAGCCAUGCCGCGUGAGUGAUGAAGGCCCUAGGGUUGUAAAGCUCUUUCACCGGUGAAGAUAAUGACGGUAACCGGAGAAGAAGCCCCGGCUAACUUCGUGCCAGCAGCCGCGGUAAUACGAAGGGGGCUAGCGUUGUUCGGAUUUACUGGGCGUAAAGCGCACGUAGGCGGACUUUUAAGUCAGGGGUGAAAUCCCGGGGCUCAACCCCGGAACUGCCUUUGAUACUGGAAGUCUUGAGUAUGGUAGAGGUGAGUGGAAUUCCGAGUGUAGAGGUGAAAUUCGUAGAUAUUCGGAGGAACACCAGUGGCGAAGGCGGCUCAAUGGACCAUUACUGACGCUGAGGUGCGAAAGCGUGGGGAGCAAACAGG